rnacentral:rRNA from 1 species
CAGAACGUCGUGAGACAGUUCGGUCUCUAUCCGUCGUGGGCGUUGGUGAUUUGAGGGGAGCUCUCUCUAGUACGAGAGGACCGAGAGGGACGGACCGCUGGUGUGCCAGUCGUCCCGCCAGGGGCGCCGCUGGGUAGCUAUGUCCGGAAGAGAUAAUCGCUGAAAGCAUCUAAGUGAGAAGCCCACCCCAAGAUGAGAUCACCAUGAGCGCAAGCUCGGGAGUCCGCAGGUAGAUAACCUGUUUGAUAGGCUGCAAGUGGAAGGGUGGCAACACCCGUAGCUAAGCAGUACUAAUGGACGAUGGCUUC